rnacentral:rRNA from 1 species
AUGGCCGCCGCCUGGCUUAAGCUCUCUGUCGCGCUGACAUGCGCAUUGCUCUUAUCGUCGUCGGCGUGCCAUGGCCUGCAGGUGGGCUACUACAAGAAGACGUGCCCCCGCGUGGAGGCCAUCGUGAGGGACGAGGUGAAGCGCUUCGUCUACAAGAACGCCGGCAUCGGCGCCGGCCUCAUCCGCAUGUUCUUCCACGACUGCUUCGUCCAGGGGUGCGACGCCUCCGUCCUCCUCGACCCCACGCCGGCCAACCCGCAGCCGGAGAAGCUGAGCCCUCCCAACUUCCCCAGCCUCCGGGGCUUUGAGGUCAUCGACGCCGCCAAGGACGCCGUCGAGAAGGUGUGCCCCGGCGUCGUCUCCUGCGCCGACAUCGUCGCCUUCGCCGGCCGUGACGCCGCCUACUUCCUCAGCCGGAUGACGAUGAAGAUCAACAUGCCGGCCGGCCGCCUCGACGGCCGCGUCUCCAACUCCACGGAGGCCCUCGACAACCUGCCGCCUCCGGUCUUCAACCUGGACCAGCUCAUCGCCAGCUUCGCCGCCAAGGGCCUCACCGCGGAGGACAUGGUCGUCCUCUCUGGCGCCCACACCAUCGGCGUGUCCCACUGCUCGUCCUUCGUCUCCGAUCGCCUCGCCGUCCCCUCCGACAUCAACACCGGCUUCGCCAACGUGCUGAGGAGGCAAUGCCCCGCCAGCCCAAGCCCGGCCAACGACCCCACGGUGAACCAGGACGUGGUGACCCCCAACGCGCUCGACAACCAGUACUACAAGAACGUCCUGGCGCACAAGGUGCUCUUCACGUCGGAUGCCGCCCUCCUUGCCACGCCGGCGACGACCCAGAUGGUGCGCGACAGCGCCAACAUUCCCGGUCAGUGGGAGGCCAAGUUUAACAAGGCCAUGGUCAAGAUGGGAGCCAUCGAAGUGAAGACCGGUUACCAGGGAGAGAUCAGGAGGAACUGCAGGGUCGUCAACCACUAA